GCAAACUUGGUCAUUUAGAGGAAGUAAAAGUCGUAACAAGGUUUCCGUAGGUGAACCUGCGGAAGGAUCAUUAGAAAGAUCGAACCAAAAUAUGGACGAUCAAAUCCAUAUCCACCUUGUGUGCACUCAUUGACCGUUUACUUUGGCAGGAGUCGUCUUCGAUCCGCUCGAUCGAAGCGAAGGAGGUUCUCUUCUCUCCUCUUCCGGGGGGGAAAAUGUGAAACCUUGGCCUGCCAGAGUUUUUCUCUUAAACACGCUUCUUUUAAAUCUUUUGGACUGAACCCUCGUCUCGAUUCUCAGUAAUCGGUCGAAUGAAAUACAACUUUCAACAACGGAUCUCUUGGCUCUCGCAUCGAUGAAGAACGCAGC
rnacentral:misc_RNA from 1 species